CUUCCUGCUCUCCUCCUCAGAGAGAAUUGGAGAUGGCCUGAGCCUGGUCUUCGGGCUAUGGGGAGCCUCUGAUUCUUGAUGUAGAGUCUUGUAGAAAGGCUUCCCUUCAGAGCAUCCCCUAUGGAGGAGCCUCCAGAGAACUGCCACAAAGGAUGUGACAGGUGGCCCUAGUUAAUUUUCUGUGACUGGCAGAAUAGUGGCCUCUCUCAUACAGAAAGAACUGCUGCCAGGUCUUUUUGAGAUCAUCUGCGAUGGACUGAGAUCCCAGCACCCUACCCGAUACCUAAAUCCUCACCGGCUCUCCUCGCCCUCCAGCAGCUUGCGGUAGGUGGCAAUCUCCACAUCCAAGGCCAUCUUCACAUUGAGCAGGUCUUGGUACUCCCGCAGGUGGCGGGCCAUCUCAUCCUUCAGGUGCCGGAUCUCCUCCUCCAGGCGUGCAAUGUUAUCCUGAUAGCCACUGGCCUCGCUGGCAAAGCGAUCCUCCAGCUCUCUCAUCUGCCUCAUCAGGGAGUCAUUCUGCAGGGGAUGAGGGGACCCAAGUCAAGGAUAGGCCCAGAGCAUAUCUAGGAAGGAGGGCGCCAGAGAAUUGGGGUAGAAAGAGACCCAGUGUUGGAGGUUGGAGGCAACUCCACAUGGUCAUGGCCAGGUAGAAGAAUCGUCAAGUGCUUCUUUCUUAGUCAUGGAGCCCUGAGCUCUAGAGAAGGCAUAUGUGGCCACUCACAAUAAACCACCUAAUAAGGAGCAUCUACACUAGUCCUCCAACCCUACAUAGGGAGACACCCCCAGGAGUCCUCCGAUUCCUUAGUACCUAACUAGGAAUCUGCCUUUACCUCCCUGUACAUUUGAGGAGAUGGAGACCCCAGAGGGUCUGUAAUAGGCUCAAAGUGUCACAGAGUGAAGGUGUGGAACUAAGCUGUGGGCAGAAAGAGGCUGAGCCCGUGGGGAUGGGGAGGGACUCACGGUGCCCUUGAGGGCAUCAAUCUCGCAGGUGUAGGACUGGAUCUGGUGUCGGUACUCCAUCAUCUCCUGCUUGGCCUGGCGCAGGGCAUCAUUGUUCUUAUUGGCUGCCUGGGUCAAGUCUGAAACCUGAGGGCAGAGAAAGGGACUCUGAGAUGGGGAAAAGCAGGAUUCAGUGUGGGCGAGGGAGUGUGGAAAUCCCAGGCUCACCUACUCCAUGGAUGCAGGUACAGGAAGCAUCUCGUGGAGAUAGAGGACAGGUGCCAGGGUCCCCAGGCUAAACCACCUACCUUGGACUUGUACCACUCCUCAGCUUCAGAGAUGUUCUUAGCCGCAAUGGUCUCGUACUGAGCCCGGAUGUCCCUGAGGGCCGCUGUGAGGUCUGGCUUGGACAUGUCCAUCUCCACCUGGACCUGCUGUUCCUGAAGCUGAGCCUGAAGCUCACGGAUCUCCUGCAGGACACAGCUGGGCAUCAGUCCCCUUCAAGACCCUCCCAAAGCACCUUCACACCCCCAUUUCAAAGCCAGCCCAUUGCCUAGCUGCUUUCACCAUCACCCAAGGGCCCUGGUACCUCUUCGUGCACUUUCUUCAGGAAUGCGAUUUCCUCGUUGAGCGAUUCGAUUCUGCGCUCUAGGUCGAUGCGAGCCAGAGUGGCUGCAUCUACGUCCUGGGUACGGGGAAACAACAAUGUUAGGGUCUGGAACAGUUCAAGUGGAGCCAAGAGAGAGAAGAGAGAUGACUGCUGGGGACCAAAGAAGGCUCACCGCUCGGAAGGCAGCCAGGUUGUUCUCUGCUUCUUCUCUCAGUUGGAUUUCCUCCUGUAGCCUAGCCAGGGCAGACAGACAGACAAAUGGUGAGCUACAGAGCCAUCAAUAGAAACCACUGGCUGGGGACCUAUCAGGGAGCCAGCUCAGGACACAGGGACAAGUCCUGGUUGCUGGGUAGAAACAAGAGGCUCAGAAAAAAAAAUAGCAAAGGUCCCGCCCACGGGUGGGGGGGCGGGGUAGGAAGCGGCUGAGUCUCAACCCUGAGCCGCACCCUUGAAGUCUAUGUCCCAAAUAGAUUGACCUCCCCGGGGUUAGGCACUGUGUUUUAUUUUACCCACUUGUAUGUUCUCAGGCCCAGCCUGACCCAUGUAGCGGCUAAAUAAAUGUUUGUGACUUUGGA